CGGCGUGCUUAACACAUGCAAGUCGAGCGGUAAGGCCUUUCGGGGUACACGAGCGGCGAACGGGUGAGUAACACGUGGGUGAUCUGCCCUGCACUUCGGGAUAAGCCUGGGAAACUGGGUCUAAUACCGGAUAUGACCUCCUAUCGCAUGGUGGGUGGUGGAAAGAUUUAUCGGUGCAGGAUGGGCCCGCGGCCUAUCAGCUUGUUGGUGGGGUAAUGGCCUACCAAGGCGACGACGGGUAGCCGACCUGAGAGGGUGACCGGCCACACUGGGACUGAGACACGGCCCAGACUCCUACGGGAGGCAGCAGUGGGGAAUAUUGCACAAUGGGCGAAAGCCUGAUGCAGCGACGCCGCGUGAGGGACGACGGCCUUCGGGUUGUAAACCUCUUUCAGCAGGGACGAAGCGCAAGUGACGGUACCUGCAGAAGAAGCACCGGCUAACUACGUGCCAGCAGCCGCGGUAAUACGUAGGGUGCAAGCGUUGUCCGGAAUUACUGGGCGUAAAGAGUUCGUAGGCGG
rnacentral:rRNA from 1 species